CAGCAGGGGGUGAAGUGGAGCCAGGACAGGUGGCCCGAAUGAGGCAAUUAGGCCAGCCAUGACCCAUCACACCGAAGGGCAUAAAGCUGUGAAGGAGUUGGCCGAGAGGUAACAAUGUGGAUCGUCUGCUGGUGAGCGGAGGGAGGUUUUGUCUUGCUGGUGGAGUGUCUAAUGGCUGCUGUGCAUUAGUCAGCAAGUGGUAACAGUGCCUGAGGAGAUACAUUAAGGGAAACAGAAGGCUCCUCUUCCUCAUCUCUAACGUGUUUGGCUGCAGACACCACAAGCUGAAAUUCUGAGUGACAAGCAUCAUUUCUAAGACCACAAUUUCACUUGGAAAAGUGGAGCAGAGUUGGAGGAGGAGAUGGAGGAAGAGAGAUUAAACAACUCAGAAAACAGAUGGAGAAAUGGAAUAGAAUCACUACUGUACCCUGAGAAGAGACUUGGAUGACAGCCAAAAGCCUUAUCUGGAUGAGGUCCUUAUUAAAUAUUCAAGAAGGGCCUCAACUUUUGACAUAGCCUGGCAGCUGGUGAUGAAAUGGCCACACCUGACAAGCAAACCAUCACACACAAAAAAAGAGAACAACUUUUUUCUUCACGGGAUUGGCAACUUGGGUCAAGUAAAUGAACAAGAAUCCAACAAGACUUCACGGCUUUUGAAUUAUAUCUAAGUUAUUACAUUAUGGAAAAAAACAAUUAAAUAUGUUUUCUCUACAUAGUAUAUUCUUCAUGAAUUAUGAAGGCAUUUCCAGGAACUGGUUUUGGUUUGUUAAAAUGUGUUUUAUGGAAAAUAAUUGUUUAAUUUGUCAUUUUUGCUUGCUGACAGGGUUCAUGCUUAACAGUGACUACAUUUGUUAAAUACUGUAGUUGAACUUUGUCUCCAAUGCUUCUUCCAAUAUGCUUCGUAAAAAAUAUCUGGUUACCAUUUACGUGCCAGACUAUUUCUGUCCAUACAUAAAGCAUGCACAUAAACUACACCUCCGACAUUCUUUCAGUGGUAAGUUUCAUGCCCUCCCCAGGACAGCCUGUGAAGUGCUGUGUUAGGCAAUCAUAAAAAUAUCAUAAAAAUAAUUUUCUUCAUUUUUGUUUGAGAGAUUACAAACCCCACUGCACUUCCAAAUAAUUAGGUUUAGAUCUCUGCAUAUUUGCUUCAAAUAAGAAAAUUAACUUUGGUUCUUAAUGUAAAUCAUAAGUUAUGUAAGCACAGAAACACACUGUUAAAGUGUAGCUAAGAAAAGUAUGUAUUGAGACAACCAUUCUGGAAGACGCAUAAACCAGACAAGAAUAUUUACUAUGAAACAAGGCCAUCUAUGAAACUGCACCUAUUCUGGGGAACUGCAGACCAUUAAGCAUGUGCGGAUUCCUGAAGUGGCUUAAAAGGAAGACUGAUGGACCAGUUGGCACAUACACAAGCACACCUGCACUGCAGUGUUUUAGAGGAAGUAGGAUUAUUUUUAUAACUUGAAAUUUUCAAGAUACACAUUUAAAGGACAGGGAGAGUCCAAGGAAAAAAAAAAUCUUUGAUUUCCUCCAAAUAAUAUUAUUAAAUCCUGCCCAUGAGCUUGUGUAUGUGUGCAUACACUGUCAGAGGCAUAUACAGUUAUGCAUACCAAAACAUUAAAGGAAAUAUGAUCUCAAGCCUGAAAAAGCAUAUGAAAGAUUUUAGAAUAGUGAAUUAGAUGAGAAAAAUUAUAAAAGGUAAUGCAUUUCAGGUGAGACAAAUUCAUUUUUAAGCCUUGUGGAAGCAAUCCACCUUUAAUAAUGAUAGAGGAGCACGUGGCUUUCUAAAAAACUCAUUCUGAUUAAUUUUUAAAAAUGCAUGAAAUCCAACUGAUUCUCACUACUGAACUCUCCUCUGGUCGUAAGGCAGGAAGAAAACUGGCAUGCUUAAGCAUAAAUUUGGCUGCAUUAGUAGGAAAUCUACUGUAGUCAUAAAUGGAAAGUAUUCAAACUAAAAUGUCAGUAGUAGAGGAUGACAGGAGUUAGUGUUAGAGGUCCAGUAUUUACACAAAUACAAUGUAGACAGCAAUGUGGAACACAAAAAUUUCCAAGUUUGCAGAUAGCACUUAAUUAGCAGGUACUGCAAAUAACGAAGGAAUGUGCUGUGAGAAAUCAGAGACUGAAAUGGAAGAAAACCUUGAACUGUCAGGUGAGAGAGGCUCUAAUUACAGUGGUGUUUUCAAAAGGCAACAUACAGAACAUCUUUAAUGAUAAACUUCUGUGUCAGACCGUUACAAGUUUCAGUAAGUCGUGUAUUCAUAGUUGUUGCUGUUGGUUUUAUUGUGACAUUGUUUUGGUGUUUUAUUUCUCAGAAGCUUUAGACUUCUUACUCUAAUGAGUGAGUCACAGAACUGCAGUCAUUCCAUGUCCAUUGCAGGAGCUUUGGCUCAGAUACACCAAAACACUUAGGCAUUUACAAGGAUUUUGACAAAAAACAAGGCCAAAAUCACUAUGCAACUAUUCCACAAAAAAGAAUCUACCAAUAAAGUUCCCCAUGGUGCCUGAUGGUCUGCUUCUUUGUAUGCUCAGCACAGCCUUCACUUUGGCAGUAAGUUGAUAGGUAGCUGCUAUCUAAGUCUUGCACAUAAUGCUGAGGAUCAUACUGAGCCAAGGAGGCAGAAAGAUGUUCCCUUUUCGUGCCACAGCUCGGUCCUCCAGGUCAGCUAGAUGGAACGCUCAGCUGACAUAGGUGAGAAAAUAGGUUCUUAAUUCAUCCAAGGAUAUUCCUAACAUAUAAAUGAUUGUGCCAGCCUCCUUCUCAGGAGAGAUCUCACUCAGGGUGGCCAUUCCCUUGUCUAGCUGAAUCUUGAAAAUCUCCAGGGUUGGAGAUGCCCACCUCUCUUUUGGAUGUCUGUUUCUGUACUGUGCUACCUGCUUUAUUAAAGCCGCUCUCCUUCUAGUCAGUCUGAGCCUCUCAAGUUGCAAUUCGUGCCAACUUCCUCUUCUUACACUGACUAUUCCUAUUGAGAAGAGCUGGACUUCUUCCUAACUCCCCUUCCAGUAGCAUUAGACUAUGUUUAUAUGCUCUCUUGUUUAGCCAAGCAGGCCUUCUGCUGAAAUUCUCCAUAUUAAUGCACAACAGGAUAGUUUGCUCUUGAGCUCUUAAACAGUUUUCUCUAAAAAUCAGCCAGCUCUCUUGGGCACCUCUUCCCUUUAUGGCCCUUGACCAGGUGAUUCUGCCUAGCAGUUCUCCAAAUAGGCCAGAUCUGCUCUCCUAUUCCACUGCCUCUUUUUCCAGCCUCCUCCAGAUCCCAAGCUGUCAUGUUACAGCCAGUAUACCCUCUCUGCCUGCACUUAUCCUUAGUUCUUUCCCAGUGGCAGAACAGGUGCAGCAUUACACCAGUUGUUCCCUCUACAAUUUGCACUAUAAAACUAUGGUUUGUAAUAGCAGUGAGAAUAGUCUCCCUAAUGUUAACAUUCUUCACUCUGCCUCUUGUUUUGAAAAUCAAUGCAUUUGGGUUGAUAUUUAGUGAAAAAUGUAAAAUGGUGCUGUAAAAAAAUGUAUCACUGCAGGUGACUGUUAGGAUUAUGAGCUCAGUCAGAUAAAGUGUAAAUUUUUAACUGUGGGAUCUCCUUCCUAAGCUGUACAGAAGUUCACCUGAAGUGCUAAUAUUAAAAUAAAAAGGACAGUACUCGCUGCCAGUUGGAAUUCUGCUUAUGAUUUGAAAUUGAACAAAGAGUUAAAACCUACAUAUAUCAAAGCAUUCUCAAACAUGGGCCAUCACUAUCUUUUUUUUUUUUCCUCCAAAAAAAAGUAACCUUAUCUUUGGGAGGUAUACAAGGAGACUUUAGGAGCAAUUGGUCUGACACCAAGGGAUACCAUUUUCUUGCUCUUACAAAGCAGACAGGCAGCUUCUCCCAGAGAAACCAGACUGCUGAUCAAGAAGCUGAACAAUAUAAUUAAAACCCACCUUCACUGAGGGUAUUGCAUUGACCAUUUGCAGACUGGUCAUAUCCCUGGUACUUCAAAAAAAUACCAGAAAAGUAUCCAUGCACUGUCCUAUUGCUUUGUGCAUCUCACAGGUGUUACUGUGAGCUUACAGUACCGUGUGGAUUUUACAUUCAAGCACGCAGACAAAUGAAAAGUUAGUAACAGGCAACAUGCAAAGGUAAGAGCAUACUGUUCCUUGCUCUGCUACUCCAAGUUUGUUUAACUAAGGCCCAAAUGAUUUCAGAAACGUGGCAUUGCAGCAGUACAGCAAGCCAUAGAGUGCACUAAGCAAAGAAAACACCCAGGAUUGUGUUGAGUUAACCAACAGAGUUCUGAGCUUAGCUGCUGUCUCUGGCUGCACCUGUCCUGUCAUCUUAGUUUGAGGUUUGAACUUACACUUGAUCCCAAAUUCCUUAAUCAUCAGAUGUGCCAGCAAGUUGGCUUCUACUUGCUCUCCUGCUGAGAGAGCCAACUGGCUUUUCAGAUAGGGGAAUUCAGGCACUAUUUUACAUCUCCUCUGUAUGGAGAGGCAAUAUGAUUCCAGCAGACUUUCUUACUAGAUUUAUGUUCAAAUCUGAGUAGGUUUACAGAAGGUGAUAUUGGUAGACCUGUGGUUACGAGGUUUAAAAAUUACUGUAAUAUCCAAGACUUAAGUUAUGAAUGAGUAUGUGACCAAAAUUAUUAUUGGCACCUUUUAUUUAUUACUCUGUAACUGCAUAGAAAAUUGUCAUUUCUCAUGUCCUGUCAGGUCCUUAAACACGGGCUGUAAUGUUCUCAGACAUUAUUACUCAACACAGCAUAUUUCUGCUCUGAAAAGCAUCACAACUCAUAGAAUCAUAGAAUGGUUUGGGUUGGAAGCGACCUUUAAGAUUACCUAGUUCCAACUCCCCUGCUAUAGGCAGGGAAACCUCCCACUGGACCAUCCCAAUUACCAUCCUCCAGUUGAUAAUGGCUACCCUCCCAGUAACUGUAAACAAAACCUGGUACAUUUCUGGGCAGUACACUUCAAAAAAAUCAUUGCAAGUUCACAAGCUAAGCAAACUGUCAUCUUUUUAAGCUAACUCUCAGUUCUCACCCAUAUAUAAAUUUCUUUACAUGUGCCAAAUCUGAGAUAAUCUUUACUCUCCAUCUGCACAACUGCAACUUUCACCCAGGCUCAUUCCACCUGGUGAGUGUGUCGUCUUGCUCUUCGGGUUUGAAAAUGCCCACACGGUUAUUGCAAAGUUAUCCUUGUACCCAUCUAUGUUACCUCUAUCAUCCCCUUCAGCUCCAUCCACAGUUACUCUAUUCUACACCACACUAAACUGCAAGACUCUUCAUUCCCUAUAUUUUUUCAGUACUGUUUGGUUAACUCUGCUAAUAAUUAAAUGCUGUUAUGUAUCCAAACAAGCAUACCUACACAUUUGUCAUGUCUCACUUUUCUCCCUUCAUACUUGCAAGGUUCUCCCAUUAUUUUCCACCAAACUACUUCAAGGACUCUUCUCGGCCAACCUACUCAGACAACAGUUUGGUAAUACAGGGCUAUUUAUAUGCUUAGCCCAUCGUUUGCACUAUUGAUCUGCAGUUUCCAUCCCCCUCUCCUUUCUACAGGUUUAUUGUCUUGUGGCUCACAAUCAGAUGCAAAACUGUCGGGGCUAUUGGCUUUCUUCUUUUGUUUCAUGCUUAUGUAGUAUCCAGUACAGUACUUUCAUGAGUAGGCCUCUGUAAAUUAGGAAAAGUGUGUAUCAUGUAGUUUGUGCAAACAUAAUGUUUGUGACUAUUUUGUUCUGGACUAAUGGAUCACUAUAGAAUUCAAGAAGUGAUAUUUGAAUUGCCCUAGAAUGCAGGAAACAGUAAUUUGUGCAACUCUGAAGUUGCAGCCUCAAGAUCAGGCUCACUGCUCUCAUAAACAUAAAUGGAGGCAGCUGAGAAAAAGCAUUUCCUUUUUGGCAUGAAAUUGUCAGACAGGCUGUCAGUCUGUAGUGGUGCUAAGGGUGCUAAGUAGGUCUGGGCCAGCAAGUCACAUGGUAGCUGCAAAUACAUCCACCUGUGGGACCUGUUUCCUCAGGAAGAGUUUGAGAGAGUAGUGUCCUUCAUCUCCCACGUGCUUCAUUCUCUUCCAAGCAAGCUAAUCUGUAGAUGCGCUGAUGUCAAGCAGACAGAUGAACCAAGUCCAGCAAAUGAAUAUACAAAACAAACUUUCAUCCAGCACUUUUGGCAGCAAGUCAUUUGAGAUUUGCAGGAGUUGCUGUUAACUCCUACCCUGAAAAUUCUCACUAUUUCUGCAAGCUCGAACAGAUGAUUUUGCUAGGUGAGAGCAAGGUAAAAUCCUGCUUCCAAGAGUGCUUAAUUAGUCCUGCCAGAGUGGACCGUUUCAUCUGGUCACACCAACGAUGAUCUCUGCCCUGCUGGGGCAAAGCCAGGGGGAGGAGCAAAGCUUGGGUUGCCUUUGACACUAUUUCAGGCAAGUUCCCAUGGGUAUGCCAGGGCAAGACCUGGGCAUUCCGUCCCCAAAGUUGCUAUGGUGCUCUCUGGUCUGCUCUCCGGGCAGGAUGUGCAUCCCUUAGGGCCUGUCCAGGCUGCACUGCCCCAGUGUCUAGGACCCAGAAUUUGAAAACCAAUGGCUUUUGUCCUGUUGGAGAACACUACAUUGACUUGGAUAUUGUUGCUUUAAGGAUGACUGAAUCAUUCUUUUUUUUUUUUUUUUCCUUCCUUUUAUUGCCUCUUUCAUUUUCAUCUGGGUAUGAAACCAACCACAUUUCUGAAAACUUCGGAAUGUGUCAUGACAAGAAAAUGAUUCCCUAUAGGUUGUUGCUCUGGUUAAAAGCAUCUAUUUGCAUAAAUGAAUAAAUACAUAAAUAAAUAAGGUCUGGAAAAUUAAGUCUAUUUCUAUAUCUUGACUCAUAUUGAAAAAUGUGAAACCUUGCUAAUCUUCUGAUUUAUAUUAAUACAUGGAAGCAUAUAUAUUUCCCUGAAUUCAUAAUGUUUCACUUAAUACUUCUGAUCUAAAAUGUGUUUCUGGCUUUUACUUAUAGAUCAAUAAAAUUAACAAACAAGAAACAACGCUGGCUUAUUGUCUGCUCUGAAUGACAGUGAAAAACAAUCUGAAAUUCACAAAAUAUUGUUGACCUUUCAGCAGUAAAUCCAAUAAAAGAGAAAGUGGGUCAAACUGAAGCCAUUUAAGGCGCAUCUUGAAGUUAAUCAGGAAACUUGACCUCCAUCUGUUCCUGAACGAACAAAAGUCUUGCAGAACCGAGUAGAAAAUUUAGAUUACACUGUAGGCACAGUUACCACAUAAAACCCUGCUGAAGACUGUUCCACACUUGUAACAGCUCAAAAGAAAAAAAAAAUGGUUGCAAAAUGAAAGGGAUAGCAAAGUCAAUGCUUCUUAUCCACAGCAAAUCAAAUUUAGGAAUGAAAUGCAGCAGAAAAUAUCCCAGUGAUCCACGAGAAUUAAAAGUCCUGCACACUGAUUCACACAAAAAAAUGUGAUGAAGGAUGCUACUCAAAGUUUGGUGCUCAAGCAAGAAGGUGACAGUCACUGUACCUGUGGGCAAGAGAACACAUCAACGGAGCCUUCCCAAAGGUCAGCCAAAGAGAUGGAUUUUGACACAGAUUUCCAAUACUCUGCAGGAAAAUGAAUAACGGACACACGUGAGAAUACUGCAAUAUCCUUCCUGCAUUUUCCAAGUUGUACUACAAAUGAGAUAAUAGACAGAAUGUUUUAGUGUUUUUAAAUGGAAAAAGAUAAUCCAUUAUAGUGCAAACAAUUCUGGUAAGUAAUAAAAAUAUUUUUCACAGAAAUGUAAGUGAUAUUAAAGGUAUGCCACUGAAAAACAAAGAUGACAAAUUAAAACUGCAGUGUUCACACAGAGUUUUCUGUGAGCAGCUGCUUGUUUGCAUAUAGAACUGAAGAAUACAUUUGUAGGUGCAAUCCAUUAUCUUUUUAUACUUCAAGUUUUCUAAUUUUCGUGAUUAACACCAGCUAAGACUUUCCCAAAGAAGACUGGAUUUAUGGAUUAAGGUUAUAGUAGUUACAGUACAGGGCAGAAGCAAAAUCACGACUGAUAAUUUUUACAAAAUCAAUUUCUCAUGUUUCAAGUCAUUUCUCAUGUUUCUGAGAGAUUUUCAUUUAUAAACAGACACAACUAUGCUUAGAUAUAGCAUGAACUCUAUCGUGCAUGGAACACAAUCUAAAAGAAAAUCAGCUAGUGGUUUUUUAUUGUCUUUUGCUCACCACCUUCCUUGAAAAAGAAAAGUUCAGUGGCUGUCCUUACAGAACAAGACUGAUGAAUUAGAAAGUCAUCAACCUAUCUGUCCAUGUAAGGACACAAAAAAAAUGCAAAAUCUUGUUGCUUUAUGCGCAAUGCUGUUACAGUAGUUUGGCAAAACACCCCAAAGACCUCAGUCACAACAGCUGAUGCUCCUUUAAGCCAUCAAUAACCUGCCAUACGUACACUAACAAAUAACAAUAUUAGAAAUAAGAAUAUGCAUUAAGUCAGGAUUUUUACUGCCUUGUUGCAGGUGCAAAGACAGAAGUCUAGAGCUGUGAGACCAGCUGCCAGAUCUGGUGGCUGAGCUGAGAACAGACUCCAGGUGGGUGCUUUGCCACCGGAGUUGCAGGAAUCCAGCUGCAACAGCUCUGCUCUCACAGCAGAGGAAUGGGUGAGAUUUAGAAAGGCCCGUAGGUCCCUCUUUCUUCUGAUUAAUUCCAUUUAAAUACCAACAGAGGUUGGCUGUCUUUUGAAAGGUAACCACGAGAAAAAACCAGAGAGGAGUCUAUGUCAAAACUGUUUUGAAAUAUUCUUGACCUCUGAAAGUGAGACACAAAUUCAAACAGUGGUUGAAGCCACAUCUGCUUAGCAAAAAUUCAUGAAAGGAACAAGCCUUCUGUCUGAAGAAACUAUUUUUGGUUUCUGGUGACAGCUUUGACAGACUUUCUCAAAUAAGCUUGUAUCAAUUUAAAGCACACUUGGUCUCAUUCCAAGGAAACUGUGGCAAAUGUGGUGGGCUUCCUAGGAAGAGUAUGAUUAGAAAAGGUUGCAAAUGGUAUGUGAAUUUAACAACUGCUAGCAGGGUUGUCCCUCCUUAGUGUGUAUGUCUCCACAGGAUAAAGGCCUCUUGAAAAGUAUGCAAGAUAGUUUUAAUCCCAUUAGUACAACCAAGGAUGUACUGUUAUUAGAUAACAUUUUUUAGGCAUAUGGUUAGCAAGGCUGAUUAUCCGCUUCUACACAGGCAAAACACAUUCCAACAACAUAAAAUUGUGACCAAGCAGCAUGCAGUCUGGCCAAACUACAACUACUUCUAAACUACUUCUGCUAAGAUCCCACCGACAUUAAAAUUUACAAGUAACGUCAGGAAAAAUAUUCCUAAAAAUCCUAUCACCUUCUUCCUGUCACAGCAUUUUCAGUGCUUUUCAAAUGAAAUAACAUAAUGAAGAUACUACACCAGUUGAUUUUGAGGACCCAAGAAAAAAAGUCAGAGCUAUGGUCUGUACGACUUGAUUUUCUCAGGUCAUUUUAUUAUAGAAUUAAUUUCUUAUAUCCAAAUGAAAUUUAGUUCAGAAGAAAUUCUCAUAGGGCAUGUGUACUAUACACUUGUUUGCCAUAGAUUUUCCAGGUGAAUAGGUUGAAAAGGUUGUAAAUGUGUAAAAAUAAUGUAAGUAUUAACAAGCUUUAUACAUCACAUGCGUAAAAUAGGUUAAAAUUAUUCAUAUGACAAAGCUAUUUUUUUAAAAAGUAAUAAAUGGCCCUAUACAUUAACAUUUCACUUACAAGUUAACACAGUUUUUUCUUCCCACAUCUUUUAGCUGUAGAAUAGUCCUGUUUCCUUCUCUUGGGUGGAAGGAAUUCAAAGGCAAAAGAGUCUUAUGAAAAGCUCCAUGAGUCAUUAUUUGUCAAGAAAGAAGAUGCACAGGGGAAGAGCCAGAAAGGUUGAGGACAGCAAAGAUAGUCCAAUAGCUGAGUUACAUGCUUCCCAGGACAAAUGGAUUCUGUCUCUAAUUCUGCCAAAGAAUUGCCAGGUAAAACUUGCACCCAAGUACUAAGGCUCAUGUGAGAUGUUGCUGCUGACACUGAAAUGCCUAUGUCAGGCCCAAAUCUUUCCUACGUCCCCCAUUUUGCCACCAUUUUCUGUACAAAUGGGAGCCACAGGAAGCUUGGAGCAGGUGUCACACCACCAAACAUGCAGAAUGGAAAUAAUUUGUUAGGAAAAGCUGAAGAAAGGAGUCUGUCUGAAAUUCUUUCCUUUCUGGAUAAGACAGCUCCCUGAGAUGAGAAUUCAAAGGCCAGAACCAUAUUCCAUCGCUUAGUUUAUCCAGCUCUGCAUAGAUGCCAGUUCUACAGGGUAGUGCUCCUGUUCCCUGAAAUGAUGACUAGAAUACUCACUCAAAAUUCACAUACUUUAUAGUCUUUUCUCAGCUUCAAACAUAUAUUAAUUACUUAGGAGAGAAGAACAGCCUACCUCUGGAUUGAAAAAUAAGUAGAAAUUUAUAGAAUCAUAGAAUCGCUAAGGUUGGAAAAGACCCACAGGAUCAUCCAGUCCAACCAUUCGCCCUUCACCAAUGGUUCUCGCUAAACCAUAUCCCUCAACACAAUAUAACAAAUUAUAUAUAACCAAUAUAUGCCUGGCUUGUCAGUCCCAUCAAUGACAUUUCUUCCCUGCAACUCAGUUCUAACCUUCAUUUGCUUUGCUCUUUAUCUGCCACUUUCUUGGCAUUGUCUCAGUAUCUUGCUUAGUCAACUUUAGGUUCCAGGUGUCAUCUCAGUUCAUUCCCAAAUUCCAUUCAAUAAUUCAUAGGACCAGACUUCUUGGCUAGCUACCACACAGGCAUCACUACCUGCUAAAACGUCACCAGCCUCUGCUUCCAAUGCAUCUCUUAAGCUCCUUCAGAUUAGCUGUCCCUUCUCCUUUUAAAAUAUACAUCUUCCUGCUCUACCACAUCUGGGCAAAGUGAGAGGGAUUUAAAAAAGAGACCCUCUUAGUUCUCAUGAACAAACAGUUCCUAACUAUUUUGAUACACUAUGGGUAUUUUUUGGUAAUAUUUUAAAAAUUUUAGCAGCCUGAAAUUCCCUUUUUUGUGGCUUUGAAGCAUUUUUUUAGCUUAUAUAUGUAUAUUUUGAAUUGGGGGAUGUGGGAAGAGGAGAAUGUGUUAACAUCUUCCCAGAAGUUUCUUAAUCAUUCUGAGCACAGAAGUGAGUCAAAGCCAGAAACUAAUAGGAAAUGAAUACAAUUAAUGCUGCAACUUUUCUAAAAUAAACAUAUCAAAACAAUGAAAUUCAAUGCCUUCUGACAAGCUAAGUGUGUAUUUCUUUGCUUAUGUCUUUGAAUAGCAGUUAUUGUGAAGCAACCAUACAGUCAGCCUCCAAAUGAGGCAUACGGUGAUAGAAUUCAGGGAAAUGAGUACCUGGGAAAAUCCACAUUUCUCAGUAAUUACAGAGCAUCACUACAUCUGUGGUGGCUGUCUAGUUUUCUAUCAUGAACACAGAGGAAUUACAUUAUGUGGAGAAGGAAAGUGCAAUUAUUUACGCUAGGUGUAUUCAAAAUUAACACGUAAUGUGUUGUCUUGCUAUGUAUUUUUCACAACUCAAAGUUCAUGGUGGAGACCCCUUCCUUACAUAAAAUUUAAGUGAUCUACAGAAAGGAAAAAGUCGGUAAGGACAGAGUAGUGCUACACACAGCAGUAAUUUUAAGAAACAAACAUAUGCCUCCUCUGCUAUUUCACUUGCCUCAACUGCUUCCAAGUCAGGUUGAGGGAAACAGCCUGCAAGAUAGGGCCUGCCUUGUAUUGAACAGUAUUUCUAGAGGCAUGUCUUCCUAACUCUUUCAUCCUUCAAUGACCUGAAACACACUGCAAUAAAGUUUUGCUUCUGGGUAUUCAUCUCAAAUUGAGAUUCUAGCAUUAGUUUACACAUCGCAAAUGACAUUACAGGAAAUGUAAAACAUUCUGCAGUUUAAUCUUUUAAGUGUUCUCAAAAGGAAAACAGUUCAAUGGAUAUUUGUUUAACAUCUGGCAUGUUUGAUCUUCCUGAGAAAUUGUCACGUGAAACAAUCUAUUACAGAACCUUUUUAUUUUUAAUCUUACACUGAUUACCUGCUAUUGGGCACUCCUUGAAACAGAACAUUAGAUUAGAGAUCAAACAAUGUUUUACAUGUACAGAAUUUGAUUAACGAAUUAAUGCAAUUCUGUUAUUCAACAGCAAAAAGUGGACUAUUCAUAAAUGGAAGCAGAGUAGCAAAGAAAUCUCAGUCAAAUGAGAUAAAAUAAAUUUUCAGUACGAAGAUUGGAUGAAAACCAUUUUUACCUGCUUCAGUGGCACUACACUUCUAAACAGGGAACAGUUUCCAUUUUAUGACCUAUUUACAUAACACUGUUAUCUCAUAAGCUGUAUGCUUUUUACUGCACUACUGAGUAAAAAGUUACAGAAAACUCAAUUGUGACAGCACUGAAUUAUGCUUAUAAACACUGAAAUGCAGCUACACAUCAAAAGGAAGAAAAUGAAUGGUUAAACAAUCUGAAUAGUUCAGGAAACAGAUUUUUCAUCUUUGGAUUGAUUGAGUUAAUGUAGUCAUUUAAGAGAGGCAUAUGCAUAGGCACUGUGCAAACUGUUGUUAGACAGACUAUAUAACAUGAAAAUAAUUAUCAUACAUGCACACAGCAAGUAGUUCCAUGUGUUCUUGGAAGUGAUGCAUCUUCUUGUGUAGUUAGACAAACAGACAGAUUUCAGGCUAUUUGUGAGCAUUCAAAUGACCAAAUUUAUGGUUGUGACUAUUCUAAGAAAAGAUUUUCUAUUUUUACCACAAGGAAGCAUAUUCACAAGCUUUUGUGUUCUGUGGCUGAUUAUGUAAAGGUUGCUCUGAAAGUAAUGUCACCUGUUUUAUUAUGUUGAACCACAACAUCAGAGGUGGAUGUCGGUGGUAUGGCAAUAGAGGUUGAAUCUUCCCACCAAUAUUCCAUUGCAUUUUGUUGCUGCGUGACAGAUGGCAGCAGAGGGGCAGUCUGACAGAACGGCAUCUGACAUAGAAGUGCAUAUGAAGCAAAGGUGUGUCACUGAAUUCCUCUGUGUGGAAAAAACAGCACCCACUGACAUUCUUCAAUGUUUGGUGAACCUUUGUGGAGACCAAAGAGCAAAUGUGAGCACAGUGAGGUGGUGGGUAGUGCAUUUCAGCAGUGGCAACAGUGAUGUGAAAGACAAACCACAUUCUGGACAGCCAUGCACUGCAGUAACACCACAAAAUGAAAGUCUUGGUGAGCUCAUCCAUGAGAACUGGCAGAUUACAACCAGAGAACUACGUAUGAAGUUGAAUAUCAGCUUCAGUGCAUUAGAAACAACAAUGGCAACAUUGGAAUAUCACAAAGUUUGUACCAGGUUCCACAAAUGCUCACAUAGGAACAGAAAGAAGUUUGCAAGUUUGCCGGAAUCUACUGAACAAAUAUGAGGCUGAAGGUGACAGGUUCCUGUGAAAGUGAAACCAUUAACUCUGACCACUCAUCACAACUUAGUCAGCCGAUGGCUCAAACUUCCAGAGUCAGGCCAGAGAAGAAGAAAGCCUUUCUCCUGCAAUAUUAUAACACCAGGCUCCAUAUCAGUUUGAAGACCAUGGAAGACCUUGCCCAUCUUGGCUGGACUGUCCCACCACACCCAUUGCACAGUCUGGAUUUGAUGCCUUCUGAUUUCUACCUGGUAAUCAUGCUGUCAUAGCACCUGUGAAACAGUGGGUCACCUCCACUGAUGCAGAUUUUUAUGAGCAUGGCAUGCUGGCUCUUGAUCUUCGGUGGUGAAAAUACACAGUUAAUGGUGGUGACUAUGUUGAAAAACAGUAUUUUGUAGCUGAGAAUUUGCUCAGUCAAACAAUGUUAUUGUGCUCUUUGUUGUAGUUUCCAUGGAAAAAAUAGGAAGCAUUACUUUCAGAGCAACAUAGGCACAUUAAAUCAAUGCAAAAUCCAUUAAAUUUCUAGAUCAUCUUGCAAUUGCAAUAGCAAGAAUGUCAUCAAUAAAUAUUCCAAGGAAAUAAAAUAUGUAUUUUUUAAUGUAUUCACAGUCUCUUGAGGAAUUGUACUGCAUACCUGCAGCAUUGGAACUGGCACUAUAUGCAUUCCUUAGUUAUACUGGCUAUUUCACUAGAGCAUACUU
ensembl:lncRNA